rnacentral:rRNA from 1 species
UACGUAGGGGGCAAGCGUUGUCCGGAAUCAUUGGGCGUAAAGAGCGUGUAGGCGGUUCGGUAAGUCGGCUGUGAAAGUCCAGGGCUCAACCCUGGGAAUGCCGGUCGAUACUGCCCGGACUAGAGGUUCGGAAGAGGCGAGUGGAAUUCCCGGUGUAGCGGUGAAAUGCGCAGAUAUCGGGAGGAACACCUAUGGCGAAGGCAGCUCGCUGGGACGUUACUGACGCUGGAGACGCGAAAGCGUGGGGAGCAAACAGG